AGACUUUGAUCCUGGCUCAGGACGAACGCUGGCGGCGUGCCUAACACAUGCAAGUCGAGCGAAGUAUUUAAAGAAGAUUUCUUCGGAAUGAAACUUUAAAUAUCUUAGCGGCGGACGGGUGAGUAACGCGUGAGAAACCUGCCUUUCACAACGGGAUAGCCUCGGGAAACUGGGAUUAAUACCGUAUGAUGUCUCUUUUUAGCAUUAAGAAGAAACCAAAGCGCAAAGCGGUGAAAGAUGGCCUCGCGUCCCAUUAGCUAGUUGGUGAGAUAAAAGCUCACCAAGGCGACGAUGGGUAGCCGGCCUGAGAGGGUGAACGGCCACACUGGAACUGAGACACGGUCCAGACUCCUACGGGAGGCAGCAGUGGGGAAUAUUGCACAAUGGAGGAAACUCUGAUGCAGCGACGCCGCGUGAGUGAUGAAGGCUUUCGAGUCGUAAAACUCUGUCCUAGGGGACGAUAAUGACGGUACCCUAGGAGGAAGCCCCGGCUAACUACGUGCCAGCAGCCGCGGUAAUACGUAGGGGGCGAGCGUUGUCCGGAAUUAUUGGGCGUAACAGGGUUCGCAGGCGGCCUUUUAAGUCAGAUGUGAAAUCCCACGGCUUAACCGUGGUAAGCAUUUGAAACUGGAAGGCUUGAGUUAAGGAGAGGAAACGUGGAAUUCCU
rnacentral:rRNA from 1 species